rnacentral:lncRNA from 1 species
AUGGGGCCGUUGUACGACGGGAAGCACCUCCACAGCGUACUGAAAGAGGAGUUGCAGAACAUCAAGCUCAGCCAAGCCAUCACAGAUGUAAUCAUCCCUGCCUUCGACAUCAAACGGAUGCAGCCUGUCAUAUUCUCCACAUACGAGGUAAAUUAAGCAACAAAAUUAAAUCAUAUGAGUGUGUGUAAGAAAUUAUGUAAAUUAAAUAACGCAGGCGAAGAGAAACCCGUUGUUGGAUGCUAAUUUCGCGGACAUCUGCAUCAGUACUUCGGCGGCUCCCACGUUCCUCCCCGGCCACGAGUUCACCACCACCGAUGCCCACGGCAACUUCACAGAGUAUAAUCUCAUCG